CCUACGGGAGGCAGCAGUAGGGAAUCUUCCACAAUGGGCGAAAGCCUGAUGGAGCAACGCCGCGUGAGUGAUGAAGGCCUUCGGGUUGUAAAACUCUGUCAUUCGGGACGAACCGGAGUCUGAGGAAAUGCAGACUCUCUGACGGUACCGGAGGAGGAAGCCCCGGCUAACUACGUGCCAGCAGCCGCGGUAAUACGUAGGGGGCAAGCGUUGUCCGGAUUCACUGGGCGUAAAGCGCGCGCAGGCGGUGAUGUAAGUCUGAGGUGAAAACCCGAAGCUCAACUUCGGGACUGCCUUGGAUACUGCGUCACUUGAGGAUAGGAGAGGCAAGGGGAAUUCCACGUGUAGCGGUGAAAUGCGUAGAGAUGUGGAGGAACACCUGUGGCGAAGGCGCCUUGCUGGCCUAUUUCUGACGCUGAGGCGCGAAAGCGUGGGGAGCAAACAGGAUUAGAUACCCUGGUAGUCCACGCUGUAAACCGAUGAGUGCUAGGUGUAGGUGGCUCAUACCCAUCUGUGCCGAAGCUAACGCAUUAGCACNCCGCCGNGGGAGGUACGGUCGCGAGACGUAGAACGACGAAGGAAGUUAGACGGCGNGAGACGNGCGACGGACGACACGAGGGGAGGUUAGG
rnacentral:rRNA from 1 species